UACGGAGGGGGCUAGCGUUGUUCGGAAUUACUGGGCGUAAAGCGCGCGUAGGCGGACCUGCAAGUCGGGGGUGAAAGCCCGAGGCUCAACCUCGGAACUGCCUUCGAUACUGCGGGUCUCGAGUCCGGGAGAGGUGAGUGGAAUUCCUAGUGUAGAGGUGAAAUUCGUAGAUAUUAGGAAGAACACCCGUGGCUAAGGCGGUUCUCUAGUACGGUACUGACGCUGAGACGCGAAAGCGUGGGGAGCGAACAGG
rnacentral:rRNA from 1 species